ACACGAAGGGUGCAAGCGUUACUCGGAAUUACUGGGCGUAAAGCGUGCGUAGGUGGUUGUUUAAGUCUGUCGUGAAAGCCCUGGGCUCAACCUGGGAAUGGCGAUGGAAACUGGGCGACUAGAGUGUGGCAGAGGGUAGUGGAAUUCCUGGUGUAGCAGUGAAAUGCGUAGAGAUCAGGAGGAACAUCCGUGGCGAAGGCGACUGCCUGGGCCAACACUGACACUGAGGCACGAAAGCGUGGGGAGCAAACAGGAUUAGAUACCCUGGUAGUCCACGCCCUAAACGAUGCGAACUGGAUGUUGGGUGCAAUUUGGCACGCAGUAUCGAAGCUAACGCGUUAAGUUCGCCGCCUGGGGAGUACGGUCGCAAGACUGAAACUCAAAUGAAUUGACGGGG
rnacentral:rRNA from 1 species